CAUAAACAGCCGGUGUUAAAAUACGUAAUUUCAACGGUUCGGUGGGUUCGGCGGAGGAAUAGGAAACCGACCCUCUCUAGAGAGUUAAAUGUUUAUAAGUUAAUGAGAAAAAUAUCAUAUUUGUCACGUUUGCAACAGUUUAUCACGACUACAAACGAGGUACGUCUUGAACGCACCCUUCAUUUUGGCGGUCGAUUCAAACCGUUUCCCUUCAGUUCAGUCAUUCACAAACAAACCUGUGAUUAUCAGCAACUACUCUAACUCGUCAAGAGCUAAUUCUCCUGCUAACAGCUGCAAUAUUAAGGAUUUAUUCUUUCUGACUCCAUUUUCAGCCGAUGGCCCCACCAACUACGUCUUUAACCGAGGCUUCAGGCUGGAGAGGAGCUUCUUCACAACAUGGCGCCCGUGAUUCCCUAACGGCAGUGGGACGCUCCUCCUUAAACCAGGUGAGUUAAAGCUGCUGAUACUAACGCAACCUCGCUUACUGGAUGUUUUGGCUUUGUCAAACUGGUGUUUGUUUGUUUGGAAAUGAGAUAAGAGGCUUUCCAUGUGGUUACUUGCAAAAUAUUUGUUUGGACAAAAAUCUAAACACAGUUGUUCUUUCUGGGCUGGAAAGUUGCUGGUUUAGAGCAACUUGCUCUUGGCUGUGUUAAAGCGCGACUGUGAUAGUUGAAUAUGACUGGUUGUAGCAUUCAUGACUGAGUAAGCUGGUUGUUAUUUUAGUUACCUAUCUUCAUUCUCAACCGAUGCUGUUGUAGUCUGCUGUGAAGUGUUUUUGUUUUUGAGGCAUUUUACUUCUUAUUUUUAAUAUGCUGCUUUUUUCCCUAAGUACGCUUAAAAAUCUUUGUUUUUCUCUUUUCUUGCUCUGCUCGUGUGUCAUGGUCUGCUGCUGUGCAACUUUCAGUCUUUUAAAAAACCAACACUAUGAACAUUAUCAGGAAACAAAGUGGUGGAAAUAAUAACUUGUGAUGUUUUAUUCAAGCUUCAAGCCGUGGUGCUGAGCAUGCAUAAUACCACAGUUCUGAGGGCUGAAACUUAUUGAAAUUCAGCCAUGAUUUUUGUACUGCUUUCCUUGCAUUAAUACUUCCAAUGGUCUCUCUUGAUUUAAGGUAAAUUGAACUUAUCGAAACUAUUGUGUGAAGUAAAGUACCAAAGUUGAGGUAUUGUCCACUUAAAGGAGGUUUUAACUAUAAUUUCAAGUUUCAGCCCUCUGUUCUUCUGUUGAGUCCACUUAAUAGCUUGUAUCUGCUCCCUUAUCUCAUAACAUUUCUUUGGGAUAAAGACAACCUUUCGUGCUACUCUGUGUCUAGUGCAGCUUUAAAAAAGAUGAACAGUCAUCCACUAUUUGCCAAGAGUUCACACCAUAUACAAUACCCCGCAAAAUCCAUACUUUUACAGACAUUCUUCGUUUUACUACCACAGAUCAAACUACUUCACAUUGUCGGUCAUAUGCUCUGCGGUAGAGCUGGAAAAAACUCUCAGACUGUGUAUCGAGCAGCCAACUAGUUGACUGACAGAAAUUAUUCAGCAAUUUCCUUUUCACAGUCUAAUGCCAGACAUUUUCUACUUAACAAAUGUGAAGAUUUCUGUUUGCUAUGAUAAUAAACUGAGUAGCCUUUGUUUUGGCAGGAAAGCAGCAUGAAUAGAUCUUUAUGCAGUUUUGGAAAGUGCUGCUGCAGCCCCGUUUCUCCACAGUUGUAUGAUAUUUUGUGUACUACAAUGGCAGAUUGUUCACUUUGCAAUAUUGUUGUCUGAUUGAAACCCACACUGCCUGAUGCUUUAGUCUGUUGUUUCUUUUUGCACCGCUGAUGAGCAGACUCUGCUAUGACACUACAUGUUGCUCAGCUUCAUCUGCAACAUCUAUUUGUAGGUUUUUCAAGUCAGGUAGUUAAUUGUUGUCACUAUCCCGAUCUAAGUUGCGGUGAGCUGAAAGUAUCAGCUUUAUAUCUGUAAGAGGUGUGUUUUUACAGUCGUUUAAAGUUGUUUGACCUGUUGCAUUUGAAGCUCGUUAGCAUUUAUACACUGAAGGCAGACACAACAGUUGUUCUCCUGUCACUGUAAAUGAAAUAAAUCAACACGCCAAUCAGUUAUGUGGUCUGUUAGCCCUGAAAGAAGAGGCCACCCACAACCACUGACCUACAACUCAUUAGCUCUAAUGGAGUCAGUUUAAUGAGCCCCGUCUGGGAUGACUGACAAGCAGCCUGUCGCUGGCACACAAUCCAGUCUGCAGACCACAAACAAUCGACCUCCCCCUGAAAAAUGGCUCUGCUUCAUUCAUAUGGUAAAAGUCACACAGGCUGCUCUGGUAACCUGAUCCAGCUUCAGGGCUGGAUCUCAUUCAGAGGGGCAGGGAGGUGCAGGUGACUUUAUCUGAAAGCCAGCAAUGGGCUUUGAAUGACAUGCUGCACAUUGCACUGCUGGGACCACUGGUGCAAAACUGAACUCCCAACUUUGAGGUCCAGGACAACAGCUGCAGCUGGACUCACUGACUAUUUUGUAUUUUGUGUAAAACUUGCCUAAAGCUAAUUGGCAAAAGACUGUUUAUUAUCCAAGUGAUAAUCUGUAGUUAUUAAAUAAAACACAGUAGGAGUGCAGCGGACCAAAAAUCUUCUGGUUCAGUUCUGUUUCACCAGCUUUGGUUCAGUUUGGGUCACAAAUUGGACGUAGAAGAUCAUUUUUUAGAUCAGUGAAAAACAGAUAAUUUACAUAACUUGUCUACUUCGCACCGAGCCGCAGCUCUGACUGUGCAUUUCAUGGCACAAUGGAAAUACCUCUCAUUCUCAUCUAUUUCAAUAACAGUUUUUUUUGCACUAAUAUUAUUCAACUACAGCCUUAAAAAGCUAGAGGACUAGGACAUUUGGUUAGGACUUUUUCAUUUCUGCUUUUACAUUUCGACUGUAAAAAAAAAAAAUACCAGUGACGCUGGUGCUGUUUGUGUUUUUUCUCCUGGUGCUGUUUAUUCACUCAUUUUAACUUCAGCCAUGCACAAAGCUAGCAUUACUGAGCUUAAUGAGCAUGUUUUCUCAAUGCAAAGAGUAGCACGUCCUUCUGAGCCUGAUCAUAUCCAGUCAAUGUACAUGAACCGUCAAGGUGUGUACUGUUGGUCCAAGCAGAUGAUAGUCAAACUGUGAUCCAUGCACCACUAAAACAAGGGUCAGAAUCACUUCUUACUUGCAUUUUUAUAAGGCUGUUUAUCCAUCUAGUUGUGAAUUUAGUGCUUGAUUCCAUUUAUCUAAAAAAGAAAUGCUAAAUAACAUCUGAUGGCAUAGGUUUUCUGAUCAGUUUUACAUCACUGUGUGUGCUUUUUUACUCUUUUUAUUCACAGCCCUGGAAUAUAACUCUAAAAUCUGAGCUUUAAUCACAGUGCUGCUUAAUUUGGAAUAAAUACAAUUACAUUAUUUUUAUUUUUGACAUGCGACUUUGUGUCCCCUCCUAUUGUAAAAUGUCUGAAGAGCUAAUGUAGAGUAUAGUAGUCAAUGUUAUAAUUCCUGAGCCGCUCACAUCCUAAUGGGUGGAUGAUGUGAAUCCAUUAAUUAGCCGUGAAGGCGGCUCUGAUUUAAAGACUGCAUAGAUUCACAGUCACUGACAGAAAGAUCCAGAAAUGACAGAGUGCAAACAUCUCUUAACUCAAACUGUUUUCAGUCAAAGGUAAAAGGGGCAUAAUUUUGUUGCCAUAGCGACUGCAGAGCUAAAUCCUCCCUGAGGCUUCUUUUUUGGAGGGACUUUGGAGAGUAGGUAGACGCGAAGAAAAAGUGUCAAAAUGUGAGAAACAAAAAAUACACACAGAGAGGGAAAAGUUACACACGGCUCACAGCUAUACUUUAGGAUGGAAUAGAGGAAGCCACUGACAACUGUUCCUCAUUACUGAAACACUUCUUGACUGAAGUCCAGCACAAAAAGGUGAAGAAUAGUUCAGCUCUCAUUCAUAGUCCCAUUGGAGGAACGCUGUUCUCUCAGAACUCAGAUCUUGCAUCAGGCCGCUCGACGAAGAUCUCUGCACACACACACACACACACACACGCACACGCACACACACACACACACACACACACAAACACACACAGCAGCAACAGCAGCAGGUGAUAUCUGGCAGUGAGCAUAAGACAGGAACAGGAACAAAAGGAGGAAAUUGUGUGGAAAGUUCGCAGUAGGAAGGCUUGUCUGUUGGUUUGGAUUUUUAUAUUUUUCAUUUUCCUUUAAUAUAGUAUCGACCCAUUUUCAAUUUGUAAACAACAUCGAUCUACCAGGUGGGAAGUAUUUAGACAACAUUAGUGCAGUGGAGUGCAAAACAUUCAAAAGAGGAUAAACUAGAGAUGCACUGAUCCAUUUUUUUCCGAUACCGAUACCUGGGCUGAGUGUAGGGUUGGGCGAUAAAACGCUAACGAUAUAUAUCAAAAAUGAAUUUCCCUUGAUAUCGAUAUGAAACAUGGUCAAUAUUCUUUUCGAUAGUCGGCUUUCUGCCAUGUUUUGGUAGACGAUACAAAUAGCAAAUGAACAUGAAUGAAUGAAAUGAAUGAAUGAAUGACACAAAGACCUCACAGACGCAGUAGCUUAUUGUAUUGUAAAUGACAUGCUACCAAUAAGCACAGUUAAAUUUCCUUUAAGAGUAACAGGGAACAUUUAAGAUUGACAAGUGAUUUUUUCAUAUCUUGAUUGAUAUUGAUAUUGACUGAUAUGAAAAAAAUAUACCUUAGACAAACUUUUUCCCAUAUCGCCCAGCCUUAGCUGAGCGUAUCGGCCAAUAUCCGAUACAGAUCCAAUACUUUUGUUAAGUGAAUGAACUGUAUACCUUUCCCUGUGAGUGAAUUCAUCAGGCUUGACAUUAGCCUUGUAAAAAAAAGGUGACGAAUUAACAAAGAUAUAAAUUUACUUAAUAUUAUUUAUUAACAAGUAACAAAUUGCACAUUAGCACACAGCAUAAAGAAGUAACACUUCCAUGUAAACAUUUAGUGCAAAAGGAUUGACAGACAUAGAAUUGGAGUGAACAGAAUCGCUGUGUUGCUUUUUAUGAUAUUAAUUAAAAGAAAAAACUGGAUCGGCCUCAUUCAUCAGAUUUGCGAUCCACUUAAUUUGUCGAUAUCAGAGCGGAUAUCCGAUCCAAAUAUCGGAUCGAUGCAUCCCUAGGAUAAACCACCAUAAAAAUCCCAAAUUCUACCUUAAAUGACUUUGACAAAUGGUAAAUGACUUCUUCUGACAUUACUCAGUGGACAAAUGUUCAGUGGUCAGAUGUUUCAGACGCUGCUGACGUGUUUUACUGUCAAAUGUAAUCCUCCUGUUAACUGGCAGCUUUCAGUUUUCCUGUGAGUAAAACCUGGUCAUUUUGGUGCCAUAACACUGAUUUUUAAGCCACAGCUGCCUUUAGCAAGAAAACACCCAGAAGACAGUUAAAAUUAGGAAAGGGGAUAUGAUAGCACACAGCACAAAAGCAUGCAGUGCAGUAUGUUGUGAUAUGAUACAGCUGUAACGCUGCAGAGUUAAUGCACCAACGACAGAAGAGGAGUACGGAGCAUGUGUAUAAAGGUUGUUUUGGCACCAUAAAAGAGUUACGCUGUGUGUCACAUGAUCGUUUCCAGAGAUGCAGAUAGACAUCCACACGGAGAUGAAAUGGUUGUCGUUUACAGAUUUAUUCACUCUCUGACCUGUUUUCAAAAAGUACCGUUUACAGUCACCUGAAACGCCGUUUCUGUGUGGAUAAGACGCCGGUCCGACAAAAAACUUUAGCGAUUCCUCCUGAAUUAGUUUCCGUGGUAACAGGUUGAUACCGCCUUCAGACAGACUCUGCAGCGGGGAGUGGUUUGCUCUUCAUCUGAAACUGACUCGCUCUUGUCCAAUUUAGCCACGAAAUUAUCGCCGUCUUUUGCAAACGCCAUGUUUGUUUACACUGGUGUGUGUCGGAACUGGGGAGCGCUCCCGCAAGGAGGAGCCCCCCGGUGGCCUGGAGGUGCCAGACAUGAUAGAGAGGAAAAUCAAUUCAAAGAUUUUAAUUUUUUUAAACAUCGUCAUAAUCAAAUAAUCAGAUUAUGAUUUAAAAUCGAUUAAUCGUGCAGCCCUACAAUGAUUUAACUCACAUGUAAUUCUGAGAGAUGACUAGUGAUCGUAGUUUACUCAGUGCACACAUCCCUAAUCCAAACUGAUCGAUAUCCAAAAUGUUCCUGCUGAUUUUUGAACCUCUAUCCAAGUUUGCCGUGUGAGAGAGAUUGUGAGUCAGAAUUUGUGAGUGAAAAAGAGAAAACCACAUGACUGACAGACGGCAGCUUCAGCUCAGGAUGUGGUCAAUAAAGCAAUAAAGCUUAGGUCAGUCAUGAUCCAUUUUGAAAGUAAUCUCCUCCUCAGCAUUUUGAUGGAUUAUUUUCAGUGUCACCUUCAUGCCAAGGUGUUAGAGUAAACUAGAUUUUUGUUUUAAUGUGUUUAUUUUCAUCAGUCAGGAUGAAUAACGGCCUCAUUACCCAGAUGGAAACAAACCGUUCUGAAGCCAAUAUUCUAACGCUACUAUGGAUACAAUCAAAGACCACAACAACAUGAUGUAACGCAGUAAACCUGUUGUCAUAAAUUAUUCCUUAUUGCAGUCGGCUCACAUGUGCUAAUAGCUUACACAUGGAAGCUGAUGGCUGUAACAAAAAGGCGAACACUGAACAUUACAAUGUUGGAGGGCUCACAUGCAACACAUUUCAGAUUACACUUGAAGGAUUUCAGCUUUUGCUGCCGCUUGCCUCAGCUUGCCUGAGAGUCGCACAGAGGUGAAAUGUCUUACUUUUUCUCUUGGCAACUAGUCAAAGGAAACCCGUUAAAGAGGAUAAUAACACAUAAUUUCCCAGUUUUCCUUGACUGCUGUCCUGUUGCAUCUAGUUGAGGCAAUUUUCUGUCUGACUGUUAUCUGACGACUAUGUGGGAAACGGUUUUUCCAGCAAAAUAUGACCUUUGGUUUUGAAACGGGGCCUCCGCCGGCAGUUGGUUGUGAUUCAAGGCAGAUGUGUGAAAGUCUGCCUGGCGCAUAUCAGGUCCAAACUGAGACCAAAGAGGAGAUGAGGGACGCCCAGUCUGUCAGAGGGGCAAACUUUUUUAGUGAUGCAACGGUCAGAAACUUCAGGGAUAACGCCGAGAGAGUUUUAUGACAACAUCUGGAUGACAAGAGCUGCCUGAUGUUUGUUUCCUGCAACCGGAAACACAAUCUGUAGAAAUUAUAUCAUAUCUUUGAGAAUUAGGGUUUACAAGCCAAGCGUUUCCCAAAAGAGGACUUAACACACACUUCCUGUUGACCGCCAGGAUUAUACAGUCUCCACACACACAUGCUACACGAUCUAAUGAACUCCAAGACCUCAAAGAUAAGUGAAAACAGCAAGAGGAAGAAUGUGUCAUAAAGCACUCGACAACUUUCUUUACGUUAACCGAAGACAUGAAACACAAUGACAGACUAUGACAGAAACAACCGCACAAGGAUGGUAAACGGCCGAUUUAACAAGGACAGUUUCAUUACUCACUGAUGCCUGUGUUUGGUCUCAGUGUGCUGAGGAAACACAGCUGACCCCAGUCUCCAUACACACACUGGAACCAAACACAACAGAGGAACAGGCCCAGCAGCUCUGGUACACCGAAUUACUUAAAUACGCUCUUACAACUCCGACUCAAGGGGGUCAGCGAAUUUGAUGAUCUGUUUUCAUCAUCUGGUGGCACGCGUUCAAAAAUCAGCGGAAGUUUAGUUUGAGUAGUUUGCGAUCAAACCUUGGCAGAGCUCCGUCUCCUGAGAUGAACUCUAUCAUCACUCAAGCGACUUGUGAAUUAACUUUGGCUCGGUUCAGGGUCGAGCUCAAAAGCAGCCUCGGUGAAAUAAUGUGGUUGCAUCAAACUCUCCUGAUGAUAAUGAUGUUUGCUUUAAGGAUUACAGCCAGUUCAAUAAUUGGACGACGUUACGGCAGCAGAAUCCAGAUCAGAUAUGGUUUUCAACCCUUGGACCGAGCGGCUACUUCGAUUUCUCUUAUGGAAAUUAUUUGGCUAGACUUUCUGCUUUCGCACGUGUCCAGACACUGCGUAUGUUAACUCUUUUACUGUUAUAUAAAAAAAACAAACAAACAUGCAGAUCCUUGAGAUAUCAGACUUGGACAUUUCAAGAAUUCUGCUGGAAAAACACUGAAGCCAUUUGAGUCAACUAUUUCGCUUUGCGCUGGAAUUUAUAGUUUUGAGUUUCUGUCCUCUCUCCUGUUUUCUUAUUUUUCAGUUAAUCUGAAAACAAGACCCCAAAAUAUAUUGAAUUGUGGUCUGUUUUGUUUGUGGUAGCUCAUUUUUGUGUUGGGCCAAAGUGUCCCAAAUGCUGCUUUCAUUUUUUAACAAAUGAAAAGCAGAACACAGAGGGGCCACGGGGGCUCGGAGUUACUUCCACAAGUCAAGUUAUCAUGUCUGACGAUUUAUCCCACAAAAAGACAAUAGAGAAGAUAAAGCUUCAUGAACCAAUCCUCUAAACCUGCACUCACAACAGAGAAGUUAGUAGACGACAUGAAAAAUUCAGCCUUGCUCGCUCAAUCAUUCAAGAAUUUGUGAUGAUGUUGUUGUCCUGAAUUCUAGCUCUCAUCAAUACAGAAUGUUUAUUUAGUUAAUUAUGGUCCCAUUAACAAUAAAUCAGAUAUAGAAACCGAUAUGGACAUUCAUUUCAUUGUAAAAACUCCUGUAACAGAGUUGACAUUAAAAAUAAUACAAGAACAUGUGAAUUUCUCAUAAAUGUUCAGUAGCCACUCAGAAAUACAUCUGUUAUCGACUUCAGACUCUUCAAAAUACUGAAAUACAGCCAAUAUAUGUAUGGUGUUAUCUCAUGCACAUAAUUAACAUAAUUAACACAUCAGCUUUCUCGGCAGAUAACUAAAAGCAGAAAUUUUCUUAUUUACAGAUUCCGAUGAUUAUAACUUUCUAAGUUGUUACCUGCUAAUGCUGAUAUCAUGCCAAUAAUGCAUCCCCAGAACAGUUUGUUCAUCUUAUUUAGUUUAAAAUCCUCCCUGUAUAUUUUCAAACACUUUUUAAGGUGUUGUGUUGUCUUAAAACUAGGGGUGCAACAAAUAGUUGCCAUCGACAAAAAUCGAUGAUGAAAAAAGUCGACAAUGAAUUCCGUUGUCGACUAUUGUCACCAGACGUGUUUUUUCCAGUGGAGUGAGGCAUCUUACUUACACAUGCGCAAUCGCAUCUCCGCCGAGCAGUAGGGUAUUCAAACAUUCAAACAGCGUUUAUUAUCAUUGCCACUUAAUUAAAGCAACCUCAUGUUAAAUUUAAGAAAAUAUUAUAAUAGUUGGUGACUUGUCCAUUAUUAAAAUAGUCGUUAGUAGCAGCCCUACCUACCGCAGUUUUUUGCUGACAUGUUAAGAGUGACAACAGAGAGUUGAUGUAGUUUUUGUAAAUAAGUUAGAAUCAGGUUUUAUCAUCAGUAUACAGCUGAAAAAUGAUCUGAGGACUUCUCUUCACUGUCCUGUACAGACGCUGAUGCCUUAAAUGGUUGUUGGAAUAGAUACAACAGACAUUGACAAUCUCAUGUUUUCUAUCCUGUGAUUAUAUAACCCAAAGGUUCAGAGUUCGACGCAAAGUUAUAGUUAUUCAGGCUCUUAAGGGUCAUUUUAGAAAUGGAGGUGUGGUUAUAGUAAUUGCACAGAGUUGGCUCUGGCUGUGGUUGUUGCGUCCAAUGUUAUAUCAUUUCAUUUCUCUUCCGGUAUUCCAGUCUGCGGCUUCGACCGAGGAUUGUUCUCAGGGUUUCUCAUAAACCAAGGCGAGAUGGUUCCUAGCCAUUAAAAGUGCUCUCUCAAGUCAUCGAGUUAUUCAGUGGCCAAACUUCAUCCCCAUCUCUGCAAGUUCUCCCAAACGGUUUCAUUACCCAAGAGCCCCAGCUUCAGAGCAGCAGUCCACACCACUGAUGUGGGAUUUCAGUCAUGUAUGUGUGAUUGAUAAAUCCAACACUUUAAAUCCAACAUGCAAAUUUGGUCAUCAGAGAGACAUCACAUCUGUUAGAUACUUAUGAAGUGAGUAUCUGAACAGGAUUGGAAUUUUACAGACUAUUGUUUAUUAAUUUCUCUGUUUAAGCGAAGAAACUGCAAAAAUGUUUGAACUGUUAGAUGAUGAUCUUUGUCCACUCAGUCCUUCACAUUUCUGUCUGCUUUACAAGACUGGUCAACAGACCUCAACAUGCUCUGCAGUAGGGCUGGGCGAUAUGGCCUCAAAUCAAUAUCACGAUAUAUUGAUCAGUUCACCUCGAUAACGAUAAAUGGGCGAUAACUACUCCACAAGCUGCUCACCCCCUCCCACAUUAACUUUGUCUACUUCAGCCGCGCCAACUUUCUCUCCGUCCUCCAUCCCCUCACCUGUCUUUCCCUCUUUGUUACGGACUGGAUGGGGUGGAGUCACGUCUCUGACGUAGGACAGCGUCUUAAAGGGACAUGACACCAUAACCUACCUACACACAAAAAACAACUUUUCUUAAUUUAACACCAAAUAUACCGAUACGGGCAAAAUGACAUUGGUUAUUAUCGCAAAUUUUGAUAUCUGUAAAUUUUCGGUUCAUCGCCCAGCCCUACUCUGCAGAGACAAAGAGAGACGAAUGGGUAGACAUAAACUGCAACCUUAAUGGCUGGUGGAGGUAUACAACCUUAAGGUGGAAAUUCUACUUAAGACAUGCUCUUAAAGUGUCAAACGUUGGCGCCUUCUCGAACUCAGUCUAUUCUGAUGUGUCGUGGCGUCUGUCUGUGACAGUCUGAAGUCAGUGUCAGCUUUCACUGUGUUUUGACAGUUUGUGGAAAAUCAAACUGUGUCCUCUUUUGGCUUCUGUUUUGAUCCUUGCUUUGACACUUUGUGGUGAACUCUGUCCAAACUGAUUAUUUUAAAGGUUUUUCGCUCACUUAAGCUUAUGAUUAUAUCUCAACUAUUAUGACCAUUCAAGCAGCAUCUCAUGUAACCCAGGACAUCUUCUGCGGCUCUUGUCUGCUGCAGCUAUUGUUUCUGUUGCUGAAAUUUGCCUCAUUAUGGUUGCACCUUCUCCAAAUAAAAUCAGCCCCCGCUGUCAUAUGAAGCGACAUAGAAGUGCCGUUGUGUACUUAAAAAUGCAUACGUGGUUCAGCUCUGCUCCAAGAUAAUUUGGCUGUUUGUAUCCUGACACUUUUAGUGGUCGUCUGGGCUUUUGCCUUAUUUGUGUUUACAGCCUCUAAUCCAAAAGAAGUUUCUGUUAAACAAUUAGCCCAUACUCUGAACUUGUGAUGACUCAGGGAUAUUACAAGCUAGAAUGUAACGUUAUUUUAGAGUGCACAAUUAGAUGUUGGAUGCACAUGUCUGUUGAAAUAGUUUGUUGAAAUGUAAAGAUGCUGAAUACAUCAUUGACAUUACAUCAGGGACAUGCAUUCUAAACGUAGGGCUGGGCAAUGUAGGAAAAAGUUUAUCACAAUAUAUUUUUUUAUAUCAGUCAAUAUUGAGAUAUAUCACGAUAUAAAAAAUCACUUGUCAAUCUUAAAUGUUCCCUGUUGCGCAGACUUGGAGCAACGCCCCUUUUAUUGGCUUGCAUGGUCGACCAAAACAUGGCAGAAUGCUGACUAUUGAAAAGCAUAUUGACCAUGUUUUAUAUUGAUAUCAAGGGAAAUUAAUUUUUGAUAGAUAUCAUGAUCGUUUUAUCGCCCAUCCCUUCCUAAAAAUUAUUUUUCUUGCUCAUAAUUGGGUUCAUGGAGAGUUGGCUGUGUGUUCCAGAGCAGAAGUUACACAGGAAUGGACGGGUUUAAAGGGUCAGGUUGUAGUUGGCGUGCUGGAUGAGGAGUGUGAGUCACAGUUCACACACUUUGUGUGUGGCCUUAUUGAAACUCACACUCUGGAGAUGAUGAGGUACUCCUGCUUGCUCUUCAGUGGAGGAGAGAGGAAAUACGACUCAUUCGCAGGCACAGGCUUGUUGUAUCUUUGCUCUUUACACGUUUUAUGCGCCGUUUUAAUCUGCUGACUUCAGUGAAAGCUUUCAGACUUGUACCUGUGGCCUAUAUUAGUGUCCAGGGUGAACAGGGGAAGGUACUUGCAGAGAUUUCACCGUCUACAGUUGUACAGCAAAAGCUUUUCAUGCUAACAGACGUGUGCCCUUAAUGUCAUGUUUUUCUGUCCAUGUUUUGUAAGUGGGUACCAUGUUCCUUGAACUGUGCCUGAGGCUGAAAGAGGUGAUGGGACAUGUCUGCAUGGAAGGAUAGAUGCUGAUGCAAUUAUAUAUGAAGAGUGUCGAAUCUGUCCUGAUGCUUGUGAGGUGAGGAUUACCAUAAUAAGCUUCCUUCAGUUUGGGUAAUUACCACCCUGACUUUUAUUGGGACAGCAGGAGAAGAAGUAAAAUAUCCAGUUUUUUUUCUAAACUUUUUCUAAAUUUUAAACAAAUUUACUUUAGAUAGUUCAGAGACGAGUACAUUCAUCUGUUUCUUUCUGCUGGGAUUGGCCCAUUUUCCAAGUUUAGACAAAUCUAACAUCAGAUGUGCCUCUAUUUGAAAUUUGGCAGAUCACAGGAAAGUCUUCAAACCUAAUCUGUCAUUCUUCAUGCAACUACUUGUUCCACCGCGCUCCUCAUUUGCUAACUAUAAAUGUGUCAGGAAAAAGGGGUGUGCCUUUAACAUAUCAGCUUGUGUGUUUUUCCAGGAAUUGCUGUCAUUAAGACAUUUUAUAUCAUGACAGAAGUGCAGCUUUAUUACAUCCCUGUCAUGGCAGGCUGAGUACAUAUUCUAAAUUUGCUCCCUUUGGCCGUUCAGACACGUCAGCUGAAUCCCACUUUUCAGUUUCUUCAUACAUGCUUUUGGGAGGAUUUUCUCUCCACACACGUCUGGAAAGUUAUUGACAAGAACCACAACCAUACCAGUGUCACUUUGUUUAAAUAUAGCAGUUAUAAAAAGGGAAUAUUGUCAAUUUAAGACAAACAACCUCUCUAUGGUGCAAUUUGCCAAGUAAUGCUGACUACAACUGACGCAAAAUAAAAAUAGUGACAUGGAGAAAAUUUCACAGACUCAGGCAUUUUCUCGAUUAAAAAAUGAACAAUACUUUGCAAAUGUUAACAACAACAUAAUUCUACUAAGUGCAGUAUUGUUGAAGAACAGCUAGCGUAUCAGGCUGGCGUACUAAGUGUGUACCAAGUCAUCUAAUGAACAAAUGAAUGCAUGAAUUUCACUUUCUCGCAAGAUUUAAAGCACAAUCAUUUGAUCACAAUCCCAGAAUUCGUUCCUUGGGGAUCAAUGAAGUAUUCUGAUUCAGAUUUGCAUAAUAAACUGAUGUUAUUCUCUCAAACUCAAACUCAAACUUCUCUAUAUCACACAGCAUAUUACCCAUAGGGGUUAAUUUUACUGUAAUAGUCUUAUUAGGGCUGGGCCAUAAACCGAAAAUUUACCAAUACCGAAAUUUACGACAAUAACCAACGUCAUUUUGCCCAUAUGGGUAUAUUUGGUGUCAAAUAAAUCUAUAAAUUAAAGUUAGUUUUGGAUGUGUGUAGGUAGACUAUGGUCUCAUGUCCCUUUAAGACGCUGUCCUACGUCAGAGACGUGACUCCACCCCAUCCAGUCAGUAACAAAGAGGGAAAGACAGGUGAGGAGAUGGAGGACGGAGAGAAAGUUGGAGCGGCUGAAGUAACAAAGCUUAACAUAGACACAUGGUAUGGAAUGACAUCAAAUCAUAUUCAACUCCAGCAAUAAUCUUAAUAAUCACCAAUUUCCUGAGAUUAACUGCCAAAUUUCAACUCAAAUAUUAGAGCUGCAGCUAUCGAUUAUUUUAGUAAUCGAGUAUUCUACUGAAUAUUCUACCGAUUACUCGAGUGAUUGGACCCAAACGGCAGACUCACAUAAAGUUAGAUUUCCCUAUAGCCCUGCAAUGAAGUCCAGACUCAGAGAAAUAGAGAACAAUCGUGGAACAAGCGUGUGCGUUAGCGGAUUGCAAUGCUCGUAUAAAUGAGUACUAGAGGCAGAGAAAAUUCCUCGAUCAUUAUUUGUAAUCGAGGAAUAUGAGGAAUCGUUUCAGCCUUAUGAAAUAUAUCCGAAUCCUGCCAGAAAGAAACUUUCUGUCAUCCAUGAGCCUGUUCUGAGUCGUCCAAAUAUCCUGUUCCAGAACUUUUUAUUAAGUGUUAAGAAUCAGACUACUGUUGGAAGUGCUGAGUAUAACCAGCUGGAUAGGAGUGAGAGAAAAGUGUUUAAAUGGUGCGUAUUACAGGUGCAAGUUGUGGAUAAUGAAACACAAACCACUGUACUGUUAAUAUGUAAAAAAACUGCUGUAAAAAAAAAAAUUAUCAUUAAAAGUAGCUCUAACUCCAAAACCAUAACGCCUUUUUGUUAGUCGUUCACUUUUAAAUCGUACAUGGUAGGUUCAGAUAAUAUUACAUCUUCAGCAGAGAUGGAGAUAAACAAUCAGGUGUCUGUAAAAUGGGAAGAAUAGCAGUCGUUUAGUGUCUAUCACAUGAAGUCUGGAGACAGUCUGGAGACAGUGGACACCUUUCAUCACCUGCUAGUUGAGAAAGAGAGAGAGAGAGGUGUCAAUGAUGGAUGUAGGCAUGCAGAAGCCUUCCCACUCUGCUUCUACUUAGAUGGACCAUAGAGCAUCUGCAACCUGUAUGAUAAUCUGGGUCUGCCAGAUUUUUCUUCUGCCACCUGUGGAACAGAUUGUUCAGCGAUGAGGAAUGUUAGGGUGUAGGAAAAGCCCAUCUGAUGUGCAUUUUUCUCUCUGCAAAAACCAAAAGGGACUGAAAAUGAUGGACAGAAGAAAACUCUUAAACCUAAGCACAAGAAGAAAAGGUCUCACAUCAAAUCAAAACAUCCAUUCACAAAAAUGAGAAAAAUGUUCGAUUGGAGCCAUGAAGGAGUGUCAGGUUUGGGUUAGCCGGGAGCUGGCAGUCAGGCACAAAUUUCCACUGGAAGACUCUCUACGUUCAGAUCGUAAGGAUAUUUGAAACAUGAAACAAACAAAGAAGUCAAAUUUAUGCAGAUGCCAACUGUAUAACUCGUUGCACAUUUGAAAAGAUGGCUACAAUAUUUGGCCCAGCUGAUAACUAUUGUUUAGUCACGUAUGGUUUGCUGCAUGAAUUGAUUAUGUGUGUUUUUCAUUUAUAGCUGGAAAACAAUAAAGAAGGUUUCAAAUAAUGACGUAAGACGAAAGGGUUGAUCAGCAGUUAGCAGACAGUCUUUACUUGUGGAAGAACUUAAGAUUUUCAGAUUUCUCUGUUUGUACCAUGCCCUAAAUAUUCUCCUGUUUCAGUUACGUUUUUCUGAGGCAGUGAUGAUUCAUUUCUGAGUUAACUGUUUAUGGGGUUCAGGCAGGUAUUAUAGCUUUAAAAGACUUUUAGGAUGCAAGUUUAAGGUCAAGAGAAGAGGGCAAUGCAAAUGAAAGAAAAUGUAUACAACUUAGAUCGAAACACUGGAUGUAAUGUGCCACCCCCAGGCAGUAUACUGUGUUUUUAAGAUGUUUCAAUGACUGGUAAUAAAACCACAGGUCACAUUUUGAGACACUGGACAGAGUGAAUGGUUAAGUUUUUAAACAAAUGAAGUUUCAGGGAGAAAUGUCAACUGAGGACAAACCACAGAGAAACACCUUCUGACCUUAACCAGCAACUCAGCCCAGGAGCUUCAGAUGUGCUAAACUCAAAAUUAUUUUUCAGUCUUUUUAAAGUGGGGUUGUAUGAGGCUCUAUUUAGACAUGUUGCUGCCAGAAAAGCAUAUUUAUUUUGAGCCAUUCAAGCAUAUAUAAGUUCUUCCACCUGAAAAACUAUUGGUUGUUGGAAAUGGGACCAUCCAAAGCUGACUGUGAAGGCAAAUUAGUUCAGGACUCGUCUGGAUUGAAGGAUACCAGUGGCUCACAUACAGCUGCAGUCUGCAUUGCUCACAUUGCUCCAGUUUGCAUCUUUUUCACUUUCUUCAUUAUUCAGAAGUGAAAUCAGGAAAAUAGAAAAACCAAAUCUGUAGUGUAAAAACAAGCGGUUUUCUGACAGCUAAUUAAAGGGCUGAUAUUUUCCAGACAGAUAAUUCACUUAAACAGAGAACCACACUUUGUUGAAAGUUGGAGUUUGUUGAACCCAGCUCAUUUAUAUGAUAGAGCUAACUGCAUCUUCAGCGAACGCCUCGUUUCUGUUUUUGUCCCUCACCCUGUUUCUCAACAAAGGGGCCAAAAAGAGGGAGCAGACCAUAAUCCCCUGUGGUUUAUGCAAUUUCUGUUGACAAGUACCUCAUACAACCCCACUUCAAAAAACCCUGACUAUCCCUUUAAUUUCUAUAUCUUCCAAUAUUCAACACAUUGCACUCAAAACACACAGAAUCAUGCGCGCAGACACGUGUGGCUCAGGGGGAAGCCCUGGUGCAUAAAUCAAACAUGUAGUCGAGCGUACAGCUGAUGGAAAAAAAAAUCAGAUUUCCAAAAUUCACAUGCUCAGCAUACUUGACAUAGUGUUCUGGAUAUCAUGUUUCUGAUCGAGACCCUCACAAAAUCUGGGCUUUUUAGGCUGUCCUCUUAUUUCAUUAGAUUUGUCAUGUUUACUGGCUGUCCUGAUGACACACAGUUGAGCAAUUUACGAGUCUGCAGAAAAGUUUUCAGAAAGCAGCUGAUUUAGUGCGGCUUUGUCGGGUUACAUUCUCCCUUCAACUGAACGCAAACAAAAGAAAACCAUUAAAAAUUAGAAAAUAUACAGAGAGGAGUCAUGUAGGGUUCACUUUUUUUAGCUGCCAGGAGUCGAAGCUUAUAAACCACAACUGCCAAACUGUGCGCUCAAGUUCCCUCUGAAGGCAGCAUCAAUUGGUUCGACAAUGCUUCAGAGAUGACUCAGUCUGCGUCUCACUGAAGAGAGAAAGCUGUCCUCGAAUUAAAGCUGAACACUGGAUAAAUAUUAUACUACUACCAUCUAACUAUUAAAUAUUAUAACACCACCAUUUUAAAUCUAUUCUCCCUCCUUUUUACAGGAGUGCCUUUAUUUAAGCAUCCCUGCAGACCAACAUCCUACCUUUAGCCCACCCCCCACUGUUUUCAUCACCGCCUUUGUCAUCGUAAACCGGCCUCUUUUGUCCGAGUGCAGAGAAGCCUUUCUAUUGAUAGUGCAGUAUUUUUCAUGUCAGGUGAUAACAGCCAUAUGGUUUAGUUUAUCAAUGAGAGCUAUGUUUCAACAUCGACUUGGCUCAGACCUACCCCCCUAAAUACUUAUAUAUAAUAAUGUUUCUAUUGUAGUAUAAUUUGCAAACAGGACUGUGUUCUCCUAAAUGAAAAAGAAGAAUCAGAUAGAUGUUUGAGUUCUGUUUAUCUGUUUAUGUUCUCGCUCUGAAAUGACAGAUAUAAAGUACCUUUUUAUCAAAAGAGCACAGCCAGUCUCCUCGACUAUAAUCACCUGCUAUUAUGUCAAGAACGCAAUAAUUUGUUUUAACUCUGUGGCACACAUAAUUUGAGAGAACUACCCCGCAGCAAGCCUCUUGUUGCCAACUCAACAUGCCAUACAAAUACACACAGACAAAAAAGAAAAACCUCUGCAGGAAUGCUUUGAGAAUAUAAGCUAGCCCAGGGAGACGAGUGCAGUUCUGAUGGGUGCUAUUGUAACCUGAUGAGCCCUGAGGCCAAGCUUCAACAGUUUCUGAGGGGAUGGAGGUGGAGAUGAUCACUUCACUGCUGUGGCUCAUCUUAAAACCCAAACCCCUAAUUAUCUGUGAUAGAACCACACAAGUUGUAAUAAAAGCAGCAGGUAACUUUAAGAAAGUAAAGAAACAGAGAGUGUUAAAAAUGUCAGUGUGCUGAAUUUGAAAGUUGGUGCGUGCAACAACUUAUAAAUUUCCUCUGACACACUUGUCCUACCUGACAAUCAGCUGAUGUAAUUUAAAGAAAGUUCCUCUGUGUGUUUUGUUAGAGUCAUGCAGUGUUCGUGAAGUUAAAACAGUCCUCUACCUUCUGCACAAGCCCUCUUUCUUUUUUUUUUUCUUCUUCACUGACGUAAGGCUCCCGAGGAUCAGUGAUAAAUAUUCCACUUUGCGUCCAAAUCCACAAGAUGCCAGGGAGAGGAAAACAAAUUCUUUGUAAAUUAUCCCAAACAGUCCUUUCAGAGUCUUGCACUUGUUUGAAAACUGUUCAGAAAGUAAGUGAGAAGCGUCCCAGAGGCUGCAGACGGUGCAGGCUGCAGAGAGCUGCAGGUCCUAGUGCCUGUCUGACUCCACAAGUCCAGAGCUGAUCGAGGGCUGAUCCUUCACUCGGUUACAUCUUUAGCUGCAGCUCAUGUUUAGAAAAGUUGAAGUGCUGCUGUAAUUUUUGUUAUUGUUCACACAAACAGUCCCAGAUUUUCAAUGAUUGUAUUUUUCAGGAACUUUAGUUGACCAAACUUUUUCACAGGACAGCUCAUCCUAACUUUGGCGCAUAUUUAUGUAAGCUAGUUUUUCUGAAGUUCAUGUUAAAAGUCAAAGAUAAUCCACGACUGAACCCUCCUUUUUUAUUUUCUAGAAAUGGAUUUUAGAGGCUUUUGAUGCCCUUAUUUAGCAUAUAAGACAGUGGGCAUGGUAGGUGGUAUGAAAGAGUACGUUAUGACAGACAGCACAAGGGCUGGGUAUCGAUUCAGAUUUUCCAGAUCGAUUCAUUUCAAUAUUAUAAGGUCCAGAUUCAACAUCGAUUCAGUCAUGGAUACCUGUUAAAAUAAUGCUGUAAAUUUAACAAGGUUACCAAUGUGGUACAUUAUUAAAAAUUAUGUGUACAUUAAGAAUUAAACCCAAACCAGUAACAUUAAUCAUGUACUUUUAUUUCAACAUGACAAUGUGAAGACAAGAAAACAUAAAUUAAUCAAAAUUAAAUUAAAAUAAAUUACGAGGCAGACAAUGUAAAUAAAGUGGCGACAAAUAUAAACAGGUCUUCCAGCUUUUCUGCAAUAAUACCACAGUGGUUGUGAGACACACAACUGUAUCAACAAACAACUAUCUUUUGACUCAUGGAUAAAUGUACGGGAAAUGAAAUUGUGCAAGAAGUCAGACUUUUUGGGGCAUGGUCUUGGCCAGCAUCCCCUGCCUGCCUCAAGAACUUUGUUUUUAUAUUACACUUAUUGUUCUAGUUAUUCUUGUGCAUGCAUCCUUAAUUCUGUAGGCCAGGUGUAUGAAAAGCGAGCUGAACGCUCAUGCAGGACCGGUGGGAAAGGACCACUUAAUGUAGGGUCCAGUUUUUAUUUAUUAGAUAAAUAAUCAAACUCAGGCGUCAUUAAGGGUGUCACAUAAUUAAUGUGUUACCUUUUGGCCAAUAAUUGUAUCUGAAGAAAUUUUCCUACCAAUGAGGACUUCUUAUUAGUUAGGAACUGCAGAUACCAAUAUCAUGCUGUUGUCGUCCACCCCUGCUUCGACUCUGGAGUGGUAAUUCAGGCCUGUUUGUUGCAGGAACUGGAUUGAUAGCAUGCAGACCACUCCAAGAUCUGAUUGGAAGCAACUUGAGACCACUUCUUCCCCUUCACUUCCCCUUCGCUGGUUUUCGUUCAGCAUCAGAACGCUGCUGCUGCGUUCAUGUAUGUCCAAACAACCCGAGCUGAGAGCGAAACGCCUCCUGUUUUAGAUAACUUCUUGAAAAACAAUCCAGGUGUGACGGAACAUUAACACUUCAGAUGUCACUGAAAGUUAUAAGACGUUUUGAAGCUCCUCAUCUGGCAUGAAUAAUUUAUAAGCAGUGACGGCUCGUCUGAUUGUUGUGUGACACAUAAAAAAUGGCUUCAAAUAACUUUUUUCCUUUCUUUUUAUAAUUUCCCCGUAGUAAAUUUAGUUUAAGUGAUUAGCCCGGAUUGGUUUUUAGUAUUUUCCCUUUUCAAAAACAGCAGCAGAUGUUUCACAGAGACAGAUGUUCAUGAGAUCAUUUAUUUUAAGCAAUUAGACGAGCAGAAGAGGACUUUUCCAAAGAUUUCUCAUUACUGAAGUAUUUAUUUGGCUGAUAUCGAGGUCAGUAGUGACAAACCUCUGAAUUCUCACGCUUCUCAUUUCUAACAUCCUACUAGGGCUGGGCGAUAUGGCCUCAUAUCAAUAUCACGGUAUAUUGAUCAGUUCACGUCGAUAACGAUAAAUGGACGAUAACUACUCCACAAGCUGCUCACCCCCUCCCACAUUAACUUCGUCUACUUCAGCCACUACAACUUUUGAACCGUCCUCCAUCUCCUCACCUGUCUUUCCCUCUUUGUUACGGACUGGAUGGGGUGGAGUCACGUCUCUGACGUAGGACAGCGUCUUAAAGGGACAUGAGACCAUAACCUACCUACACACAUUAAAAAACAACUUUUAGUUAUUUAUUUUUUUGACACAGAAUAUACCGAUAUGGGCAAAAUGAUGUUGUUAUUGUUGUAAAUUUUAGCAUUGGUAAAUUUUCAGUUUAUCGCCCAGCCCUAAUAAGGCUAUUACAGUAAAAUAAACCCUUAUGGGUACUAUACUGUGUGAUUACAUAGAAGUUUGAGUUCAGGCUUGAUUUGUCAUUUCUUCAUUAAUUAUGAGAAUAACAUAAUUUUAUUGUGCAAAUCAGAAUCAAAAUACUUUAUUUAUCCCCAAAUGACAAAUUUGUUGAUUGUGAUCGAAUGAUUGUGCUUUUAAUGUUGCGAGAAAGUAAAAUUCAUGCAUACAUUUGUUCAUAAGAUGAACAGGGACACACUUUGUACAGCAGCUUGAUAAGCUAGCUGUUCUUCAACAAUAUUUACUUAACUGAAUUAUGUUGUUAUUUUAACCUACAUUUUUUAGUCGUAAAAGUUCAGUAUGAGUACAUUUUCGGUUUAUCGCCCAGCCCUACAUUCUACAAUCAUUUUUCUCACAUUUUUGAGUCAUCUUAGGUUUUUUGUGUUCCCCCAAAUUGGUAAAAUUGUUCAAUUUAUUUUCAUCUUAUGUAAUUGUCAACACCAGCUUGUGCAGCGGAUAGAGUUACAGUGCGUUGGUGUGUUCGAGCAGCGAGAGUGAAUGGUGCUAAUGUUUCAGGAGAAGAUUUGAGCUCAGAGGUGAGACGGCGUAAACUAAUCCAGGUGUGGGAAAAGUACGUAUGUGACCGCGCUCGGGUGUUUCAUAUGGAUCAGUGCGUCUAUUCUCUCUCAUCUCAACUCGGACACAAGGUCACAGGGCGGUUGUUUUUCGUACCCCUUCCUCAUAAAUAACAUAAUCACUGAGAUUUAUUUUCAAGUAAGGGCUUCAGUGUGUUUGCAUGUAUGUCAACGCCAGUCUCACACAUCUGGUUCCUAAUAGGGACACAUGGAAGCAAAAUGUUCUUACCAUAUUACACGAGGGUUGUUGCACUUAUGGCUUUGAUUAUUUCUCUGAACUCUUCAUGGUUGGUAUUUUUGAAAACGGUCACAGCCAUCACUCUCUUGUUUUCAGCUAGUUCUGUGCUACAUGAUGGAUUAAAUACAACAUGCCAUCCUUGAGGAAGAGUUAAAGUUGUGUGUGGAGACUCUGAAGGACCAGAUACCAAGCUAGUGUUGGAUGUUUCCUUCUUUGGCACUGCAGGGCUUUGGGGAUUCGAAGCCUGGCCUCCCACUCAUCUCCUGUAAAACUCGUUUGCAGAAGCUCAUUUAGCCACUCAGACUCCUCUGCUGUUCAUCACACAUUUUGGACAUCUUUAGACACGGCUGGGAAUUAACGUAGCGGGGAGGAAGCAUGGCUGGGAAUACGUGCGGUGGAAACAUAAGUCACACGUGGUUGUUUUUGGAGACAGAUAGCUUUUGUUUCCAGGGUUCAGAUGUGAACACAAAGCCCACAGUCACUUUUUUUUCUAUUUAACCUGAAAGGGUUCUCUGGAAAAACACAGGGUGGGUCACUUAAAUGUUUGUUUUGGUAUUGUUGUGUCUUGUGUAAACAUAAAAUAGUGUUGAAAUUAAAUUUUGGCAGUAGCACACAGCCGUCCCUCCAUGGGAAACUAUGUGUUUCAUUAGUAAGUCAUUCAUUUUCCAGUAACUCUGCUGUUGUUCAAAGGUCACUCUGAAGAUACAGUUUGUUAAAAACUCUUACUGUCAUCAGAGGUUUAUGUGACUCUUAUAUCCCGAGUAUAUCAUUCAUAAAUCAACGUAUAAUUAUUGGAAUAUAAACAUCAUUUAUACUUGUCAGGAUAGGAUCCCCUCCCACAAAAGCUGACAUUUUAUAUUCCUUUUUUUUGUAUUCGCACAGAACAAACUAGUAACAUUGGUAUUUGUUAUGUAGUGAAGACUUGUGUGCAAAAUAAUUUGUAUCGAUAGUAGGGGUGUCACGAUUUGGAUUUUUUAUCGAAAUCGAUCGAAAUUAUGUCAUUGUCUCGUUAAUUGAAAUCAAAGAGAGGAUCGACGAUCUCCCUCCAUGGAUGUGCAGCAGACAAAUCUGUGGCACCUGUGUGAUGCCAUCAGGUUGAUAUGGACAAAAAUAUUCAAGACCUCGUUGAAAGUGUGCCAUUAAGGUGUAAGGGGGUCCAACCCGGUUCUGGCAAGGUGUACCUAAUAAAGUGGCCAGUGAGUGCAUUUCUAACUAAGUAUUCCCAAUUCUACACUCUUAAAGUUAACUGGAAGACUUACAUAAUCUUAAAAAUACAACUAUCAAGUUAGCAGUGAUCAUUAAAUACCAUCUGAUUACUUUUUUAAAAGUAUAUUUCCAUUUCAAUUCAUGUUACCUGCUUUUUUUAAGAAGCAGUUUGUUUUAGCGAAGGCACCAAGAACUCUGUUGGGAGUAAAGCAACGACACCGUCUGGAAAAAAGACAAUGAAUUUAGUUUCCACAGUUUAUUUAUGGUCUCUUUGUGGAGUGCUCCUAAUGUCCUUUGACUUAAGUACGGCUAAGAUGUGAAUUUAUCGCAUGUAUGUUCGUCGUCUGUGGCUCUACUCCAUCUUCAGGGAUACAUCUUAUGAUCUCCUGCUUUCCCAUGAGUCUUUCGGUCUGGCUGGAUUCUGUUCCUCACAUCUUCUUAAAUCUCCUCAGGAUGAAGAUCUGCCAAGCGGCCUCUCAUAUAACUUGUACGAUCCCUUGAUGUCUAAGUCGUCGCAGUUAAGCCGAGUCUGCAUUUUGUUAUGUUGUUUGUCCGUCACCAUUUCUCCUUCCUUGUUUCUUGACAUGGAGAAACCAAAAUGGUUCCACGCAUCAGAUUGAAAAGCCGCUGGAGCAUACCCAAUUUCAAAACAGUCUCUGUUUUUCACCACUAAUGUUGGUGUGUGCUAGUUUAGCUGUUCUGGAGGCAGCAAGAGGCAGAGUACGGAGGAUGCUGGGUAUGUACGGGAUGGUGGUCCCUCUGCUCUGCUUCACUGCGGCUGGAAUAAAACCACACUGAGCUUGGAAGACAUACUGUGUCAUACUAUUCAGGUCCACAAGAGAACUGAGACCCUUUUGUUCUCAUGAUGUUGUGAAAUUGACAGCUAGUGGUUAAUUGUAGGGAUGCACGAUACUUAUCGAGUUAUUUUUAUCGUUAAGAUAGCAAAAUAAAAUCUGAUAAAUUGAUCAGAUAAAUAAAUGACUGGGAAAAAUUUGUUUGUAAAUCGUGUAGCCCCUAAACAUGAUGUGUCACGCUGGUUACAUCGUCUUUCGUGUCUUACCGCUAGGACCCAAGCCUGGCCUCCUUACUACCUGACUGACAAUGAAUCAGUGCUAAUAGCACAUCUCCUGAGCUAGCAUGUCUUCACCAGUGUGGACGUUUUUCUCAGUGGCAGCAGAUGACAGCAACAUCGCUGUAUGCAAAACAUGCGCUGCAAGGAUUUCGAGAGGAGGAAAGAAAGCGUCAAGCUUUAACACGACAAAUCUUAUAGCUCACCUGAAACGUCGUCAUUGUGGAGAAGCGGUAUUAAAAGAAUACGAAGCUGCCACAGAAGCUCCUGUACUGCAGGCAUUUGAAACCUGUAAAAACUUUGCUAGAGACGGUAAAAAGGCUAAAGCCAUUAAUGAAAAAGUGAUGGAGUUCAUAGCGCUUGACAGCCAGCCUUUUAUCCCCAAUUUCCACCGCAUUCAGAACUGCGCCAAUUUUCGCCAUCCACCAAUUCCUACCAGAUCCGGUUUUGAGGUUCGUGAUACUAAAAUAGAACAUUUUUAACCACUGAAUCCUCGUUUUUGUAUCAUCCUGGAUGCACAAACCAGAUUAUAUUAAAUACAAAUAUUAAUUUAUCAGUAUCGGCAGUGAGUAGCAGGAAUUUAUUGGUUAUCAGUAUCUGUAGAAAUUUUUCAUAUCGUGCAUCUCUAGUUAGUUGCAUAGUUGAAGUACAUCACAGAUCUUACCACUUUACUAACAUUUGAACCUGUUUAAAGAAUUGAAGUCAUGCUUCUUAAAUGGAAGCAAAUCAACUGAAUGAAGUCAGCAAUACUUCAGACGACAGGCUGUAUUUGGAGACUUGGCUGAGAGAAGAUGUAACAGCACCCCUCAUGCCUUCAUGAUGACUCUUUUUGAUAGACAAGCUCUUGUUAUAGAAAUCAAAACCAGAACAGGGAUAAAGAAUAAUAGAAAUAAGCUGUGUGGUUUCAAACACACCCUCUUCCAAACCUAACACAAUCUCAGCUACCACUGACAUGAACGGUAUUUCACAGAUGACCACAGAUCUGUCCAUAUUGUAAGGGAAUACUGUAACUGAGUUUUUCCUGAAGAAAGAAAACGCAAGCCCCGCUGUUACGAUCCACAUCUGGCCUUCAUCAGCCACAUCAACUCGGAUCUCGCUUUGAAGAGACAGCUGACUUCGUGGAACUGAGCAGGAAGUAAGGGCUUAAUCUUGAUUCUAUGAAACAUUCAGAUUUGAUUAGUACAAAGACACAGCAGAGCAACAUGCAGAGCGGUUCAUCUUUCUCAGUCACAUUUACCUCUCCAGGUCGACAGCGGUUCUGCCGCACAUCGGUUAAGAUGCUAACGAGAAAACAUGCGUACUGUCAUGAUCAGAUUAGCAGAUUAUCUGGGGAUAUAUUUUCCUUUCUUUAAGAUUAUCACAAAUCUGUAUUACACAGAGAAAAAUAGCUGCUGUUAUCCUUAUUGAGGUUCCUGGAAAUAUGACAAAUGACAAAAUGACAAAACCAAAUAAGAAAAAAUAUUACAUAAAAUAAUUGUAAGUUUUUUCCUCUUUUCAACAGGCUUUACCACAUAUUCAGGCAGGCAGGAAAAAAAUCCACCAACCAAUCAAUUUUGUGUCACAUACUAUACAUUUCUUUCAGCACACCUCACUGAGAUAUUAUGGUAUCAUGUUGAACAGAAGAGGCCAGAACAAGAUCCGGAGCCAAAUUCCUUCAGCAGAUCCAUUUUUGAUCAAUUCAAGCCUGAACUCACAGAGCAGGACGAUCGACUCCGAAACCAAGAAAUCCUCAGAGGAAAAUCACCACAAAGAAAAGUCCUGAUGAGCUCUUUAACUCUUUAAUAAUAACAGAUGUGAAUUAUGUUUA
rnacentral:lncRNA from 1 species